rnacentral:rRNA from 1 species
UGCGCAGGCGGUUGUGUAAGACAGGUGUGAAAUCCCCGGGCUUAACCUGGGAACUGCGCUUGUGACUGCACGGCUAGAGUACGGCAGAGGGGGGUGGAAUUCCACGUGUAGCAGUGAAAUGCGUAGAUAUGUGGAGGAACACCGAUGGCGAAGGCAGCCCCCUGGGCCGAUACUGACGCUCAUGCACGAAAGCGUGGGGAGCAAACAGGAUUAGAUACCCUGGUAGUCCACGCCCUAAACGAUGUCGACUAGUUGUUCGGAGAGGUAACUUUCUGAGUAACGCAGCUAACGCGUGAAGUCGACCGCCUGGGGAGUACGGCCGCAAGGUUAAA